rnacentral:lncRNA from 1 species
AUGGCACACAGGGCCAGGGCACCAUUGUGUCACACAGCACACACGGCCAGGGCACCAUCCUGUCACAUGGUACACACAGCCAGGGCACCAUCCUGUCACACGGCACACACAGCCAGGGCACCAUCGUGUCACAUGGUACACACAGCCAGGGCACCAUCCUGUCACACAGCACACACGGCCAGGGCACCAUCGUGUCACAUGGUACACACAGCCAGGGCACCAUCCUGUCACACGGCACACAUGGCCAGGGCACCACUCCUGUCACACGGCACACAUGGCCAGGGCACCAUCGUGUCACACAGCACACACGGCCAGGGCACCAUCCUGUCACAUGGUACACACAGCCAGGGCACCAUCCUGUCACACGGCACACACGGCCAGGGCACCAUCGUGUCACAUGGUACACACAGCCAGGGCACCAUCCUGUCACACGGCACACACAGCCAGGGUACCAUCGUGUCACACGGGUACACACAGCCAGGGCACCAUCCUGUCACACGGCACACACAGCCAGGGCACCAUCGUGUCACAUGGUACACACAGCCAGGGCACCAUCCUGUCACAUGGCACACAGGGCCAGGGCACCAUCGUGUCACAUGGUACACACAGCCAGGGCACCAUCCUGUCACAUGGCACACAGGGCCAGGGCACCAUCGUGUCACACAGCACACACGGCCAGGGCACCAUCCUGUCACAUGGUACACACAGCCAGGGCACCAUCCUGUCACACGGCACACACAGCCAGGGCACCAUCCUGUCACAUGGUACACACAGCCAGGGCACCAUCCUGUCACAUGGCACACACAGCCAGGGCUGUGCAGUCUCUAUUUUUCCUCUACACCUGCACCAGACCGUCAAGGCCUCUUCUGGGAAACAGGAGUGCUCACAAGUGCUGUAAUAGGUGGUCGUGGGGACGAAUCACAGCCAGUGCUUACAGCCCUUUCUGCAUGCCAGACUGUGCUGAGCAUUUUACAGAAAACUUACAUUCCAGUAACUCUACAAAAUGGAAAGUGUCAUCAUGGCUGCUUUACAGAGGCCGCAGCUGAGGCUCGGCAAGGCUCAGCUUGCCCGAGGUCGUGUACCCAAGAGUGUGGAGCAGGGUGA